UACGUAGGGACCAAGCGUUGUUCGGAUUUACUGGGCGUAAAGGGCGCGUAGGCGGCAUGACAAGUCACUUGUGAAAUCUCCGGGCUUAACUCGGAACGGCCAAGUGAUACUGUUGAGCUAGAGUGCGGAAGGGGCAAUCGGAAUUCUUGGUGUAGCGGUGAAAUGCGUAGAUAUCAAGAGGAACACCUGAGGUGAAGACGGGUUGCUGGGCCGACACUGACGCUGAUGCGCGAAAGCCAGGGGAGCAAACGGG
rnacentral:rRNA from 1 species